AAAAGGAAAAUGCCUUAGUACGGCGAGUGAGCGGCAAAAGCUCAAAUUUGAAAUCUGGUACCUUCGGUGCCCGAGUUGUAAUUUGUAGAAGGUAACUUUGGGGCUGGUCCUUGUCUAUGUUCCUUGGAACAGGACGUCAUAGAGGGUGAGAAUCCCGUGUGGCGAGGAUCCCAGUUCUUUGUAAAGUGCUUUCGAAGAGUCGAGUUGUUUGGGAAUGCAGCUCUAAGUGGGUGGUAAAUUCCAUCUAAAGCUAAAUAUUGGCGAGAGACCGAUAGCGAACAAGUACAGUGAUGGAAAGAUGAAAAGAACUUUGAAAAGAGAGUGAAAAAGUACGUGAAAUUGUUGAAAGGGAAGGGCAUUUGAUCAGACAUGGUGUUUUGCGCCCUCUGCUCCUUGUGGGUGGGGGAAUCUCGCAGCUCACUGGGCCAGCAUCAGUUUUGGCGGCAGGAUAAAUCUGCAGGAAUGUAGCUUGCCUCGGUAAGUGUUAUAUCCUGUAGAAAUACUGCCAGCUGGGACUGAGGACUGCGACUUUACGUCAAGGAUGCUGGCAUAAUGGUUAUAUGCCGCCCGUCUAGAAACACGGACCCAAA
rnacentral:rRNA from 1 species